ACUCAAAUGAAUUGACGGGGGCCCGCACAAGCGGCGGAGCAUGCGGAUUAAUUCGAUGCAACGCGAAGAACCUUACCUGGGUUUGACAUAUGCCGGAAACACCUAGAGAUAGGUGCCCCGCAAGGCCGGUUUACAGGUGGUGCAUGGCUGUCGUCAGCUCGUGUCGUGAGAUGUUGGGUUAAGUCCCGCAACGAGCGCAACCCUCGUUCUAUGUUGCCAGCGGGUAAUGCCGGGAACUCAUAGGAGACUGCCGGGGUCAACUCGGAGGAAGGUGGGGAUGACGUCAAGUCAUCAUGCCCCUUAUGUCCAGGGCUUCACGCAUGCUACAAUGGCUGGUACAAAGGGCUGCGAUACCGCAAGGUGGAGCGAAUCCCAGAAAGCCAGUCUCAGUUCGGAUUGGGGUCUGCAACUCGACCCCAUGAAGUCGGAGUCGCUAGUAAUCGCAGAUCAGCAACGCUGCGGUGAAUACGUUCCCGGGCCUUGUACACACCGCCCGU
rnacentral:rRNA from 1 species